rnacentral:lncRNA from 1 species
AGACACCAGAUUUAAUGUGAAAACCACAAAUCGGGGAAAAAUCAUGGGACCAAGCUAGACAAAUCUUCUUCCACUAUAUGCUUGUGGGAAUACAACAAGUUCUUCUCUAGAUAGCACUAGAGGCUCACAUACAUAAAGAUUUCACAAUCUUGGACAGUAACAACAAGAUUUGGGGCUACAAGCUAGGGCAUGGAAGUACCUCACCAAAGAGUGGUGGAACAACAGAUUGGAGGCACCAAUGUAAGGAUAAGGAUCUGCUGCUUCUCAACGUUGAGGACGAAUCCCUCUUGCUCUCUCGCAAGUUCUCCUCUCCAAUCUCCCUUAUUCUCCCUCCCUCUCUCUCUCUUCUCCUUGUGGAGGCUGUUCUAU